UGAGGAAUAUUGGUCAAUGGGCGAGAGCCUGAACCAGCCAAGUCGCGUGAAGGAAGAAGGAUCUAUGGUUCGUAAACUUCUUUUGCAGGGGAAUAAAGUGCAGGACGUGUCCUGUUUUGUAUGUACCCUGAGAAUAAGGAUCGGCUAACUCCGUGCCAGCAGCCGCGGUAAUACGGAGGAUCCGAGCGUUAUCCGGAUUUAUUGGGUUUAAAGGGUGCGUAGGUGGUUUAAUAAGUCAGCGGUGAAAGUUUGCAGCUUAACUGUAAAAUUGCAGUUGAUACUGUUAGUCUUGAGUACAGUAGAGGUGGGCGGAAUUCGUGGUGUAGCGGUGAAAUGCUUAGAUAUCACGAAGAACUCCGAUUGCGAAGGCAGCUCACUAGACUGGCACUGACACUGAGGCUCGAAAGUGUGGGUAUCAAACAGG
rnacentral:rRNA from 1 species